ensembl:lncRNA
CCGGGGAGGAUGGAGGAAGGUCUGGGAAAGGGAGAGGAUGCGGGGAGGUCUGGGAGAGGAGACAAGGGAGGAUGGGGAAGUUCUGGGAGAGGGAGAGGAGACAGGGAAGGAUGGUGGAGGUCUGGGAGAGGGAGAGGAGACGGGGAGGAUGGAAAGAGCUCUCGGUGAGGUGAGGAGACAGGGGAGGAUGGGGGAAGUCUGAGAAAGGGGGAGGAUGCGGGGAGGUCUGGGAGAGGGAGAGGAGAUAGGGGAGGAUGGGAGGAGGUCUGGGAGAGGGGGAGGAUGCGGGGAGGUUUGGGAGAGGGAGAGGAGACAGGGGAGGAUGGGAGAAGGUCUGGGAGAGGGAGAGGAGACGGGGAGGAUGGGAGGAGGUCUGGGAGAGGGAACGGAGACGGGAGGAUGGGAGGAGGUCUGGGAGAGGGAAAGGAGACGGGAGGAUGGGAGAAGGUCUGGGAGAGGGAAAGGAGACGGGAGGAUGGGAGAAGGUCUGGGAGAGGGAAAGGAGACGGGAGGAUGGGAGAAGGUCUGGGAGAGGGAAAGGAGACGGGAGGAUGGGAGGAGGUCUGGGAGAGGGAAGGAGACGGGAGGAUGGGAGAAGGUCUGGGAGAGGGAAAGGAGACGGGAGGAUGGGAGAAGGUCUGGGAGAGGGAGAGGAGAUAGGGGAGGUUGGGAGGAGGUCUGGGAGAGGGGAGGAGACUGGUGAGGAUGGGGGAGGAAUGGGAAAGGAGACAGGGGAGGAUGGGCGAGGAAUGCGAAAGAAGACAGGGGAGAAUUGGGAGGGAGAGGGGGAGGAGAAGGUCUGUUGUGUCCUCCUACAUUGUGUGAUAGAACAUGUUGGGUUGCUCUGUAAAAGCGCUCUGUUGCUCCUACCACCCAUUUUGAGGACCAUGUAUGUGGAGUCACUGGAAAUGGUCAAUCCUAGUUUAUCCACUACUUGAUGGAUGGCCAUUUUCAUGAAGUUGUGUGUGUGUGCGUGUGCGUGUGCGCGUG